rnacentral:rRNA from 1 species
UACAGAGGGUGCAAGCGUUAAUCGGAAUUACUGGGCGUAAAAGCGUGCGUAGACGGUUAUUUAAGUCAGGUGUGAAAGCCCCGGGCUCAACCUGGGAAUUGCAUUUGAGACUGAAUUAGCUAGGGUGCGGAAGAGGGAAGCGGAAUUUCCGGUGUAGCGGUGAAAUGCGUAGAUAUCGGAAGGAACACCAGUGGCGAAAGCGGCUUCCUGGUCCAGCACCGACGUCAGGCACGAAAGCGUGGGGAGCAAACAGG